GACUCCCUAUAGGGCCGAAUGGUCCCGACGUCGCAUGCUCCCGGCCCGCCAUGGCGGCCCGCGGGAAUUCGAUUAGAGUUUGAUCAUGGCUCAGGAUGAACGCUAGCGGCAGGCUUAACACAUGCAAGUCGAGGGGUAACAGAAUAGCUUGCUAUUGCUGACGACCGGCGCACGGGUGCGUAACGCGUAUACAAUCUACCUUACACAGGAGAAUAGCCCUAAGAAAUUGGGAUUAAUGCUCCAUAGCAAUAUUAAAUCGCAUGAUUUAAUAUUUAAAGCUUCGGUGGUGUAAGAUGAGUAUGCGUCCUAUUAGUUAGUUGGUAAGGUAACGGCUUACCAAGACAGCGAUAGGUAGGGGGCCUGAGAGGGUUAUCCCCCACACUGGUACUGAGACACGGACCAGACUCCUACGGGAGGCAGCAGUGAGGAAUAUUGGUCAAUGGAGGCAACUCUGAACCAGCCAUGCCGCGUGAAGGAAGAAUGUCCUACGGAUUGUAAACUUCUUUUAUUUGGGAAGAAACCUCUGGUCGAGAACCAGGGCUGACGGUACCAAAAGAAUAAGGACCGGCUAACUCCGUGCCAGCAGCCGCGGUAAUACGGAGGGUCCAAGCGUUAUCCGGAAUCAUUGGGUUUAAAGGGUUCGCAGGCUGUUUAAUAAGUCAGUGGUGAAAUCUCGAGGCUCAACCUCGAAACUGCCAUUGAUACUGUUAGACUUGAAUACAGUUGGAGUAGGCGGAAUGUGUAGUGUAGCGGUGAAAUGCUUAGAUAUUACACAGAACACCGAUAGCGAAGGCAGCUUACUAAACUGUGAUUGACGCUCAUGAACGAAAGCGUGGGGAGCGAACAGGAUUAGAUACCCUGGUAGUCCACGCCGUAAACUAUGAUUACUCGAUAUUGGCGAUAUACGGUCAGUGUCUAAGCGAAAGUGAUAAG
rnacentral:rRNA from 1 species